AAGAGAGAGACAUGCGCGCAUAUCAAUAAGCGGAGGAAAAGAAACUAACUAGGAUUCCCUCAGUAACGGCGAGUGAAGCGGGAAGAGCUCAAAUUUGAAAUCUUCAAGGUUCUACCUUGACGAAUUGUAGUUUAAAGAAGUGUUUUCUGUUGGAGUUUUGGUAAAAGUUCUUUGGAAUAGGACAUCAUAGAGGGUGAGAAUCCCGUAUUUGACCAUUAUUUCCAGCUUUGUGAUACACUUUCAAAGAGUCGGAUUGUUUGGGAAUGCAGUCCAAAAUGGGUGGUAAAUUUCAUCUAAAGCUAAAUAUUGGCGAGAGACCGAUAGCGAACAAGUACCGUGAGGGAAAGAUGAAAAGAACUUUGAAAAGAGAGUUAAACAGUACGUGAAAUUGUCAAAAGGGAAGCGUUUGACACCAGUGUUGUUUUCUCGAAAAUCAAUUAAAAAAGGCAGGAUUUUGUGUUGUAUUGACUUUAUCAGCUUUCUGCACUCUUUUCUUGUCUUUUUUAAUGCACUUUUCGUUUAACAAGUCAACAUCAAUUUCUUUUGUUGUAAAAGGGUCAUUGGAAGGUGGCUUUCUUUUCGGAGAAAGUGUUUUAUAGCCUUUGGCCUCUGCAAUCGGAGAGAUUGAGGUCUGCAGCGUAGAUCCUUCGGGGUUAGAUACAUUAGUGCUAAGUUAUAGCCUUUCAUAGACAACUUGUUGACUAUGAUCAGUCAUGUAGCUUACUCGCUUAUGCUAUUUUACCUACGCUUAGGAUGUUGAUGUGAUACUGCGAGCA
rnacentral:rRNA from 1 species